rnacentral:rRNA from 1 species
AUGAAGGUGAAUUCUUCCAAGAAACACAUCUUUCCAAAAAAACGCUUCAAGAAAUGCUCCACUUCACCCCAGAACAUUCAAGUAGACAGCGACAGUGAAUCCGACUUCACCCCUGAGCCGAAACAAGAAGAGGUUACUGUUGCGGAUGACUUGUCAAUGCUUGAACUAUUACAUAAAGGUGGCCUUCCAUAUUUUAAUGCCGUUGAACCCGAUGAGCACGUCAUUCAUGAUAGUGAUGAUGAUGAUGCAUUCAUUGAUCCCGAAGCAUUUAUUGAACCCGACGAUCAAGAUUAUUAUUAG